rnacentral:rRNA from 1 species
AUUGAACGCUGGCGGCAGGCCUAACACAUGCAAGUCGAACGGUAACAGGAAGAAGCUUGCUUCUUUGCUGACGAGUGGCGGACGGGUGAGUAAUGUCUGGGAAACUGCCUGAUGGAGGGGGAUAACUACUGGAAACGGUAGCUAAUACCGCAUAACGUCACAAGACCAAAGAGGGGGACCUUCGGGCCUCUUGCCAUCGGAUGUGCCCAGAUGGGAUUAGCUAGUAGGUGGGGUAACGGCUCACCUAGGCGACGAUCCCUAGCUGGUCUGAGAGGAUGACCAGCCACACUGGAACUGAGACACGGUCCAGACUCCUACGGGAGGCAGCAGUGGGGAAUAUUGCACAAUGGGCGCAAGCCUGAUGCAGCCAUGCCGCGUGUAUGAAGAAGGCCUUCGGGUUGUAAAGUACUUUCAGCGGGGAGGAAGGGAGUAAAGUUAAUACCUUUACUCAUUGACGUUACCCGCAGAAGAAGCACCGGCUAACUCCGUG